rnacentral:misc_RNA from 1 species
UCAAACUUGGUCAUUUAGAGGAAGUAAAAGUCGUAACAAGGUUUCCGUAGGUGAACCUGCGGAAGGAUCAUUAACGUAUCUCUGACGGGGUGUGGUGUGCCCUGCUCCGGCCCAACCGGCCGUGCAGCGGGUGUGCCGCCCCCGUCCACACCUCACAAACCCACUGUGAACCUUCACGGCGGAGGGGCUUCACGGCUCGCGCUGUGAUCCCCGAGGCCGCAUACCAAACUCAUGUUUACAAAGAAUGUUGUGUGGACGCUGUGCCACCUAAAAUGCAUAACAACUUUCAACAACGGAUCUCUUGGCUCUCGCAUCGAUGAAGAACGCAGC